rnacentral:rRNA from 1 species
CGCUCAUGUACACGUUUCAAAAAUUGACCCAUGCAUGUCGCGGUAAAGUCUGUUACACGGCGAAGCUGCAAAUGGUCCGUUACAGCACCCAUCGCUUAUUUUGGGGUCGCUAAUUUCAUGGAUAGCCAAAAUCAAAUUAAAGCUAAGGCAUGCGCCCAACCCCGUCGUCGGGAAAGGGCUGUGCUUAUGAAGUACAAAGCCAACUCAAGCUCUGCCUGGUCUUUUGGUGACUCGGGAUAAGCGAACGACUCGCAUAGCACCCGCUGGCAAUGAACCAGCGAGUUUCUGACCUAUAACCUUUCAACGGUAGGGUUGGGGCCUACUGUGGCCAUGCCGGGUCACGGAUAAUUUAAAUUCAAUUCUGGAAAAGGAGCCUGAAAAACGGCUACCUCAUCUAAGGAAAAAAUCAAGCACGCAAAUUCCCCAAUCCUGAUACAGGGAGGCCGCGACAAAAAAUAAGGUGACUGGGCCACAACGUCUUCUGAUGGGAAUUGACCAGCUUAAAAUCAUGUGAAACCAUUUUACAAAUUCCGAUU